UAUCUCUGUAGAGUCUGCAUAUCAAUAAGCGGAGGAAAAGAAACUAACAAGGAUUCCCUUAGUAACGGCGAGUGAAGCGGGAAGAGCUCAAAUUCGAAAUCUUCAAGGUUCUACCUUGACGAAUUGUAGUUUAAAGAAGUGUUUUCUGUUAGAUGAGUAGCAAAAGUUCCUUGGAAUGGGACAUCAUAGAGGGUGAGAAUCCCGUAUUUGGUUAUUCAUUCUAGCUUUGUGAUACACUUUCAAAGAGUCGGAUUGUUUGGGAAUGCAGUCCAAAAUGGGUGGUAAAUUUCAUCUAAAGCUAAAUAUUGGCGAGAGACCGAUAGCGAACAAGUACCGUGAGGGAAAGAUGAAAAGAACUUUGAAAAGAGAGUUAAACAGUACGUGAAAUUGUCAAAAGGGAAGCGUUUGACACCAGUGUUGUUUUUCCGAAAAUCAAUUACGAAUGGCUUGAUUUUGUGUUGUAUUGACCUUAUCAGCUUUCUUCACUUUUUUCGAGUCUUUCUUAAUGCACUUUUCGGUUAACAAGUCAACAUCAAUUUCUUUGUUGUAGAAGAGUAUUCGGAAGGUGGCUUUCUUUUCGGAGAAAGUGUUUAUAGCCCUAUACUUCUACAAUCGGAGAGAUUGAGGUCUGCAGCGUAGAUCCUUCGGGGUUAGAUACACUUGUGCUAAGUUGUAGCUUUUCAUAGACAACUUGUUGACUAUGUUUAGUCAUGCGGCUUACUCGCUUAUGCUAUUUUACCUACGCUUAGGAUGUUGACUGAUAUGUAGUCGUA
rnacentral:rRNA from 1 species